CAGUAGCCGCGGGAAUACGAAGGGUGCAAGCGUUAAUCGGAAUUACUGGGCGUAAAGCGUGCGUAGGCGGUUUGUUAAGUCUGCUGUGAAAUCCCCGGGCUCAACCUGGGAAUGGCAGUGGAUACUGGCAAGCUAGAGUGUGUCAGAGGAUGGUGGGAUUCCCGGUGUAGCGGUGAAAUGCGUAGAUAUGUGGAGGAACACCGAUGGCGAAGGCAGCCCCCUGGGAUAACACUGACGCUCAUGCACGAAAGCGUGGGGAGCAAACAGGAUUAGAUACCCCCGUAGUCCCUGUCUCUUAUAC
rnacentral:rRNA from 1 species